GCAAGUCGAGCGCGAAAGCCCCGCAAGGGGCAAGUAGAGUGGCAAACGGGUGAGUAACGCGUGGGUGACCUGCCUUCGAGUGGGGGAUAACGUUCCGAAAGGGACGCUAAUACCGCAUGACAUCCUGCCUUUGAACAGGCGGAGAUCAAAGCUGGGGAUCGCAAGACCCGGCGCUUGGAGAGGGGCCCGCGUCCGAUUAGCUAGUUGGUAGGGUAAUGGCCUACCAAGGCAACGAUCGGUAGCCGGCCUGAGAGGGCGGACGGCCACACUGGGACUGAGACACGGCCCAGACUCCUACGGGAGGCAGCAGUGGGGAAUUGUUCGCAAUGGGCGCAAGCCUGACGACGCAACACCGCGUGGAGGACGAAGAUCUUCGGGUCGUAAACUCCUGUCGAGCGGGACGAAUGAUCCGCGGGGUAAUACUCCGCGGAAGUGACGGUACCGCUAAAGGAAGCCCCGGCUAACUCCGUGCCAGCAGCCGCGGUAAUACGGGGGGGGCAAGCGUUGUUCGGAAUUACUGGGCGUAAAGGGCUCGUAGGCGGCCAACUAAGUCAGACGUGAAAUCCCUCGGCUUAACCGGGGAACUGCGUCUGAUACUGGAUGGCUUGAAUCCGGGAGAGGGAUGCGGAAUUCCAGGUGUAGCGGUGAAAUGCGUAGAUAUCUGGAGGAACACCGGUGGCGAAGGCGGCAUCCUGGACCGGCAUUGACGCUGAGGAGCGAAA
rnacentral:rRNA from 1 species